CGCAGACUCAUAAAAAAAAAAAAAAACAAAAAAAAAAAAGAAAAUCUCAAUGCGUUAUUCUAUUUUUUUCUUUUCAAUUUUUUUUUUUUUUUCCCUUCCUCUUUUAGGCCUCCUCUUUUGCUCCUUCAAAAAA
rnacentral:ribozyme from 15 species